ACUUUCGUUGCCCCGCCAUGCGAGGAUAAAUAAGUGUCAACUCACCGGUGUCACUUUUGGUAUACACUUCCACUUUUUCCCCAACGCUGAGCGACAUGACGUUCUGACGUCGAUCGUCUACGUCAGUCACGUGAUCUUCCACAGCUACGCAAACCUCAGGUUCGAUUGGUGACGUAAUAUUUAGGGUGGAGCGAGACGACCAUCCCGUCGACGCUAAUGACAUCUGAUAAGCUGAUGAUGAUAUACGUUUCAAUGCCGAAUGACGUUUCAUGACGUCAUCUUCACUCGUUGAAGAAUCCUCGCUACUGAUUGGUUCAUCUUCGAUCACGUGGUUUUGCGUCCCACUGUCGUCACUGAGUGUAGCGUUUGUGACGUAGAACAUCUAACAUCCUCAGUCUUCGCAUUGUGCCGUUACAAGUUAUUACGUUGUGUUUCGACGACUUUCGAUGCAGUUUGUUAAGGAAGUAUUUUGCUUCUUCCGAUUCAGAAUUUACUUUGAGAGUCUGAAAAAAAGGUCGGUAAUACAUGAAUAUAUAUGGGGUAUUUUACCCACAUUUUAAAAGCGGUAGUUUACAUAUUGUAGGUUAGGGUAAGAGUGUCCGUGUUUUCAAUCUUUUUAAUUGGUAGUAAUUAAAGAAUAUUUACAAAAUGACAUACCCAUACCCUGACUAGUCUUAAAACAACGUUGUUAAUUGUUUUAAACACGACCAGGAAAAUAUGGGAUAUUAUGUGAUAACGUUAUCCAUUUUACAGUACUAUACGUUUGGAUGCGUUAUGACACAAUUUGGUAUAAUGCGUUUAGUCCUAUAUACAGUAGGAUGGGGGAAGAUGGGACACUUUUUAACUCUAUUUUCUCGUCCCAUUUAGUAUUAAACAAA